UACGUAGGGGGCAAGCGUUGUCCGGAUUUAUUGGGCGUAAAGCGCUCGCAGGUGGUUCGAUGCGUCGUGCGUGAAAGACCCCGGCUCAACUGGGGAGGGUCGUGCGAUACGGUCGAACUGGAGGCCAGUAGGGGGAUGCGGAAUUCCGGGUGUAGUGGUGGAAUGCGUAGAGAUCCGGAGGAACACCAGCGGCGAAGGCGGCAUCCUGGACUGGUCCUGACGCUGAGGCACGGAAGGUCAGGGGAGCAAACGGG
rnacentral:rRNA from 1 species